rnacentral:rRNA from 1 species
UAUUUCCUACGGGGGGCAGCAGUGAGGAAUAUUGGUCAAUGGUCGGGAGACUGAACCAGCCAAGCCGCGUGAGGGAUGAAGGUACAGAGUAUCGUAAACCUCUUUUGUCAGGGAACAAAGGCGGGGACGCGUCCCCGGAUGAGUGUACCUGAAGAAAAAGCAUCGGCUAACUCCGUGCCAGCAGCCGCGGUAAUACGUAGGGGGCGAGCGUUAUCCGGAUUCAUUGGGCGUAAAGCGCGCGUAGGCGGGCAUGUAAGCGGGCACUCUAAUCUUGGGGCUCAACC